rnacentral:rRNA from 1 species
CCUUCUGUUUAUUUAUUUAAGGUCUGACCUGCCCAAUGAGGAAUUGAAUGGCCGCAGUAUUUUAACUGUGCUAAGGUAGCAUAAUCAUUUGUCUUUUAAUUGAGGGCUGGAAUGAAAGGUUGGACGAGAUAUUAACUUUCUUUAGUUUAAUUAUAAGAAUUUAAUUUUUUAGUUAAAAAGCUAAAAUUUAUUUGUUGGACGAGAAGACCCUAUAGAUCUUUAUAAUUUUAUACUUUAAUAGUGUAGGGAAUAUUCUUUUUUGAAGUAAAUUAAUUAUUUUGUUGGGGUGACUGUAGAAUUUAAUUAACUUCUAUUUAUUAGAAUCAUUUAUUAGUGUUUUAUUGAUCCAUAUAUUUAUGAUUAGAAGAUUAAG